rnacentral:rRNA from 1 species
AGUGAACGCUGGCGGCAGGCCUAAUACAUGCAAGUCGAACGGCAGCACAGCAGAGCUUGCUCUGUGGGUGGCGAGUGGCGGACGGGUGAGGAAUACGUGGGAAUCUGCCCAGUCGUGGGGAUAACGUAGGGAAACUUACGCUAAUACCGCAUGCGCCCUUCGGGGAAAGCCGGGGACCUUCGGGCCUGGCGCGAUUGGAUGAGCCCACGUCGGAUUAGCUAGUUGGCGGGGUAAAGGCCCACCGAGGCGACGAUCCGUAGCUGGUCUGAGAGGAUGAUCAGCCACACUGGAACUGAGACACGGUCCAGACUCCUACGGGAGGCAGCAGUAGGGAAUAUUGGACAAUGGGCGCAAGCCUGAUCCAGCCAUGCCGCGUGAGUGAAGAAAGCCCUCGGGUUGUAAAGCUCUUUGUCCGGAAAGAAAAGACGCCGGGUUAAUACCCUGGUGUCCUGACGGUACCGGAAGAAUAAAGCACCGGCUAAC